GGACUACUCGGGUAUCUAAUCCUGUUCGCUCCCCUAGCUUUCGCACCUGAGCGUCAGGUACUUCCCAGGACACUGCCUUCGCCAUUGGUGUUCCUCCGGAUAUCUACGCAUUUCACCACUCCACCCGGAAUUCCGUGUCCCUCUGAAGCCCUCAAGUCAGACAGUUUCCAGAACACUUCGUCGGUUAAGCCGACGACUGUCACUCCAGACUGAUCUGACCGCCUGCGUGCGCUUUACGCCCAGUAACUCCGGACAACGCUCGCCUCCUACGUAUUACCGCGGCUGCUGGCAC
rnacentral:rRNA from 1 species